UCCAUGCAAGGAACUUUCUGAUCAGUUAAUGAGAGAAAGGAAUGCUUCAGAUUGAGACAGCUCCUCAGCCUUUUCAUUCCUAACAUAUUGGAGGUAGUCCUACCAGGUGCUGCAAAAAUGGAGAUGGAGAAGAAACAUGCAUGAGGAAAGACCAGGGUGCACAAACAAUCAUCAGUAUGACCCGUACAAAGAUAGAGAGGAGCUGUACAAAACUCUGCUCUAAUGAGAGACUCUUCAUGGUUACCAGUGUUAGUAGCAACUGUCAGACCUGCAAGAUUAGUGCAGUCUCCCAUCCUUUACUCACCUAAAAAUAAUAACCUUCAUCGUGCUUGCAGUAUCUCUACCUUGACCAGGCCUACAAUUAGAUGGGUUCUUAAUACUGCCACACUACAAUCCUCUUCUUGACUUUAUACCAAGGAACUGAUUUGUGAAUGUCCACACCAAGAGAAGGCUUCCUGAGCGGGUGCUGGAUCACCUCUUUACACUAAGUUUCAACUUUACAACACUUGAUUCGAUGCCAAGCCAUGCCAGUGAACAAGUUUGCUGCAUUGCCCAUCUCCCUGGAGAACAUCUGUCCAAACUUCUUUGGAUAUUUUUUUUAAGAAAGCAGACAAACCUCAGCUAAGACUCCUGAGAAGACUCCAACCAAGAACCCUUCAAAGCGUCCAGCAAAGCCACCUCAAAGAAGUCCUUCCAAAUCAAUAUGAUUGCUAUUUACAAUAUAAACACAUUCAUGUAGCUAUAUUGUUCAUCUAUAAUUGAUUGAGUACGAAGUUCUGCAUUAUUUUUGGUGAAAAUGGGGUAUUGCGCCUUGGUUAAGCAGCCAAUCCCACAUUUAUAAUAUUGUUUCCUAUGGGAAAAUUGGUUCCAAGUUACAAAGUUUCAACUUAAGACGAGGUUAUUAGGAACCAAUUCCUGUUCAUUUGGAAUUAUAUUAAGUAAAUAUAUUCUGCGGUGUUAGGGAGAAGUUAAAUUGGCUUAAAAUGACCACCCAGU